rnacentral:rRNA from 1 species
GACGAACGCUGGCGGCGUGCCUAAUACAUGCAAGUAGAACGCUGAAGAGAGGAGCUUGCUCUUCUUGGAUGAGUUGCGAACGGGUGAGUAACGCGUAGGUAACCUGCCUUGUAGCGGGGGAUAACUAUUGGAAACGAUAGCUAAUACCGCAUAACAAUGAGUGACACAUGUCAUUUAUUUGAAAGGGGCAAUUGCUCCACUACAAGAUGGACCUGCGUUGUAUUAGCUAGUAGGUGAGGUAACGGCUCACCUAGGCGACGAUACAUAGCCGACCUGAGAGGGUGAUCGGCCACACUGGGACUGAGACACGGCCCAGACUCCUACGGGAGGCAGCAGUAGGGAAUCUUCGGCAAUGGGGGCAACCCUGACCGAGCAACGCCGCGUGAGUGAAGAAGGUUUUCGGAUCGUAAAGCUCUGUUGUAAGUCAAGAACGAGUGUGAGAGUGGAAAGUUCACACUGUGACGGUAGCUUACCAGAAAGGGACGGCUAACUACGUGCCAGCAGCCGCGGUAAUACGUAGGUCCCGAGCGUUGUCCGGAUUUAUUGGGCGUAAAGCGAGCGCAGGCGGUUUGAUAAGUCUGAAGUUAAAGGCUGUGGCUCAACCAUAGUUCGCUUUGGAAACUGUCAAACUUGAGUGCAGAAUGGGAGAGUGGAAUUCCAUGUGUAGCGGUGAAAUGCGUAGAUAUAUGGAGGAACACCGGUGGCGAAAGCGGCUCUCUGGUCUGUAACUGACGCUGAGGCUCGAAAGCGUGGGGAGCGAACAGG